UAGUUUGAUCCUGGCUCAGGACGAACGCUGACGGUGUGCUUUAGACAUGCAAGUCGAACGAGAAAGCCCUUCGGGGUUAGUAAAGUGGCGAACGGGUGAGUAACACGUGGGCAAUCUGCCCUUCGUUGGGGGACAACCGGGGGAAACCCCGGCUAAUACCCCGUAAGCUUGUCGGGUCACAUGGCCUGACAAGGAGAGGUAGCUUCGGCCAUCCGGCGAAGGAGGAGCCCGCGGUACAUUAGCUAGUUGGUGAGGUAACGGCUCACCAAGGCUACGAUGUAUAGCUGGUCUGAGAGGAUGAUCAGCCACACUGGGACUGAGACACGGCCCAGACUCCUACGGGAGGCAGCAGUCGGGAAUCUUGCACAAUGGGCGAAAGCCUGAUGCAGCAACACCGUGUGAGCGAUGAAGGCCCUAGGGUCGUAAAGCUCUGUUUGCGAGGACGAAGGGCGAAGGGUUAAUAGCCCUUAGCCUGACGGUACUUGUACAGAAAGCCCCGGCUAACUACGUGCCAGCAGCCGCGGUAAUACGUAGGGGGCGAGCGUUGUCCGGAAUUAUUGGGCGUAAAGAGCGUGUAGGCGGCUUGGUAAGUCUGCUGUGAAACCUUGGGGCUCAACCCCAAGCGUGCAGUGGAUACUGUCAAGCUAGAGGAUGGUAGAGGCCAGUGGAAUUCCCAGUGUAGCGGUGAAAUGCGCAGAUAUUGGGAGAACACCAGUAGCGAAAGCGGCUGGCUGGGCCAUUCCUGA
rnacentral:rRNA from 1 species